rnacentral:tRNA from 2 species
UUAUGAUUUAGUAUAAGAUGUACAUGGGAUUUUGAUUCUCAAGGUAAUAGUUUAAUUUUAUUAAUCAUAAU